AUACGUAGGGUGCGAGCGUUAAUCGGAAUUACUGGGCGUAAAGCGUGCGCAGGCGGCUUUGCAAGACAGAGGUGAAAUCCCCGGGCUCAACCUGGGAACUGCCUUUGUGACUGCAAGGCUAGAGUACGGCAGAGGGGGAUGGAAUUCCGCGUGUAGCAGUGAAAUGCGUAGAUAUGCGGAGGAACACCAAUGGCGAAGGCAAUCCCCUGGGCCUGUACUGACGCUCAUGCACGAAAGCGUGGGGAGCAAACAGGAUUAGAUACCCUAGUAGUCC
rnacentral:rRNA from 1 species